rnacentral:tmRNA from 1 species
AGGGUUGCGUGAAGGCGGGGGUGAGACUAUAUGACGGGUUGCCCGGUGCGCCGGGCUAUGGCGAUAAACGUCGUUCGGAAUAGACGUUGCGGACGCGGGGGCAGUACCCGCCGCCUCCACCAUAAACCUAUGGGGGCGAACCAGGAUCGACGUGCGUGGUAAAGGUGCGAUUUUCGCCCGGUAUGAUACCGCCGUUAUCGGGUCAAUCUCACAAACGCCAACGACAAUGAGGCGUUCGCUGUUGCCGCUUAGGCGACAAGCGCGGUUUGGAGGGCACCGGGCAACAGAAGCCCUCCAUC